rnacentral:lncRNA from 1 species
GUGUGGCCAGCUGGGAGGUCCGUGUGCAAGGAUGGAGCUCUCACUGAGUGCUCCAGCAGUGCCACUGGGCAUACAGAGAUGUUCUCCUGUGCUGUGCCUCCAUACCUGUGGCUGUGUGUGGGAGUCCUGGAGAUGGCAGCAGGGCAGGAGGGAUCCUCAGCUGCUGGGAUAUGAAGGCUCUUCCCAAUUCGGCAGGCAUGCACCCUUCUCAGAUGUUCUGCUGUGCAGCCUCACACCAUCCUGAGCUCACCGUAGCGUUCUCCAUCAUCCAUGCACUGGAGGAGUCUUGGAAGCCCAUGCCUGGAAGAGAGACUUGGCGAUCAGGCUGCACUGGAUGCAGGAGAAUGCCCUCCUCCUCUCGAGAAGCACAGUAGGACUUUGUCCUUCUCAGCCACCUGAGCAGAACGUGCUCAUCUCCCUCUUGCCAAGUGGACUCCAACUGUUCUUACGUCCCCCUGGAAAGCUUUGCUGACUUCAUUAUUUUAACCACGAGCACCAGAAGGGAACUCCUUGCUAUCCCACUGCACGUGGGGUUGUGCGGGAUGGGCACUGACACAGACUGAUGCCCCUGAGCACUGUACCCCCAAGGAAGGAUGCUGCCUGCUGCACAAGUGGUUGUACACAGCUCUGGCUGUCCUGCCUGGUGUUGGGUGGAGAACCAUUUGCUUUCUUUGCCCAAAUGACUGCUUUCAUCCUUAUACCCUGCUGCAGAGAAUGGUGGAUGUGGUGCAGCUGUGUGGGUGCUGCAGCAGAUGUAACCCAGUGCCAAAGUGGGACUGACCACAGCUUUUGGCUCAGCACGUGUCAGUGUGUUCAUGUGGUUUGUGAAAUCAGGUGCUGAAGGGCUAAAAGGUGCUGCAGUGGAGAUGGAAUUGGGAUUUGCUGGGGUUACUGCUCUUGGGAAGCUUGACUUAAUGCACAGCUUCUCCAGCCCUCCACGGGGCUUCCCUGAGUUCUAAAAUACCAUAAAGCAAACUGGUGAUGCUCUGUGCUGUACUUUCCUGCAGCAGCACCGUCUGCUGGGGGUCGAGCAUCUCUUAACUGGGAACAGAACAGGAGCACUGCACAGCUGGAGCAGUCUGGGACAGGGCCUGGGCUGUCUCCUGGGCUCUGCCGAGUCUUAUCGCUCGUGUUAUCUCUCUAAAGCUGAUGGCAGCCCUCUGCCUCAAUGGGAGAGAGGAAGGGCAGCUCCAACAAACAGCAGGGAAUGGGGUGAUUCCUACAGGGAGAGCAAAGCGAGCCAGAAAGGUGAUGGCAGCGUUCCGGAGUUAUCCUGCUGCUUCUCUCCUGCUCUGGCCAUCAUCCAUCCUCCUGCACAGUGACACGGCCAUGGGUGCAGACAGUGCCUGUAAAGGGCUACUAGCACUUAUUUUCAUCUUUUGCAGGAAAUCCUCCCCCUCUCAGCGCUGCCAUACAGCCACAGCCGCUGCGUUCCCGCGCUGCUGACGCAGAGCUGUUUGCUGUGACCCCUUACGCACACAGCAGGCCUUGCUUUGCCUUUCCUCUUCCCCAACCUCUCUUUUUUAAAAAGCAAAUCCGCUUUCUUAUUCUCUUUUGAACGAAAAUAAUGUAAAAGCUGUACAGUAUUCCAAGGGCGCAGUGUAAAUAUUUGUGACUCAGAAAUCAGCAGAGGGCUCUUUUGUGACAGCGGUUCUGGUUUUGAUUUCACUCACCGGGUGAGCGCCGUCCCCCCGCCGGGCUCUGCUUUGCACCCUUACAGAUAGCUUCUCACGCCUUUUCUGCUGACCUACCCUUUAGUUUCGACGAUACCUGUCUGAAGAAUGCACACGGGCUGUUUGAGAACUGCUAACAUUACUGCGCCGUGAGCCUUUGUUUCCACGCACCGUCACGAGCAGACACGGACACACAGCCUGCAGCACAGUGCUGCACACAGCCCCGCAGCAGGGGAUGCAGAAAUGCAAUGAGUGAGGACAGGGCAGGGAGGGAGGCUCACCCUACAGCUGCACAGUGACACAACCGAAAGAAGGUGAGGGUGUGGGAGUUGCAGGCAGAAACCUGAUAAGCCCGUCAAAGUGAAUGCAGCCAGCCGGCCAUGAGCUGGCAAGUAAUUAGUGCAAUUACAAACAAUUAUUUUCUUAUUCUUCCUGCUUUUUUCACACACUGAUAGUGCACAGGAUGUGACCAGAACGCUAACUCUUUGUUCUAAACCAGAGAGAGCAAAGUAUGUCGCAAAAUGCUAAAGGGGAUGGCAGGUAGGCGAUAGAUAGGAGCACAGAGUCCCUGACCCGCUCCUGGGACCUGGGGAGGUGGAGGUCUCCAGAUUUUAAAGACUCAGUUAUUUGAAGGGAUAAAGUUUUGGAGAGAGAGAAGGGGAUGCUGCAAGUCUGUGGGUGGCAUCAGCAGUUGCAGCAAUCAGUGCUGGUGGUGCACAGCUUCAGCCACCAACUGAACUGCACCCAAAGGCACUCCCGGAUUACAACACACAGCACGCUCUGCCCUUGUACUCCAGAGCCCUGCGCUCCUACUAGAAACAACGAGGUGCUGUGAGCAGGAGCUGAGCACAAGAUCUGUGCCCAGACGCAGCAGCCGGCCCUCCACACAAACCUGCAUUUGGCAGCACGGUGCAGCUGGGGACAGUGCUGCUGGCAAACAUGCAGCUGGAGCCCAGCAGGGACACCAGGGAGCACGGCCGUGCUGCAGCGCUGGCUGUAUGCAGCCCCAGGGGCCCCUCUUGCAUCACAUCCAUCCAGGAAACAAUGCAUCGCAUGUGAUUCCAUUCCCUCUGCCAGGGGCUCCUGCUUCCAUGUGUGCAGAGUUCCUCACCGCCUCCUCCCUCCUCUCUUCCACUCCCGUUUUAUUCACUGCUUUUCGAAGAAUCACCGUUCCUGGUAACUGUUCUCUGUAAUAGAAACAUCACCUUUUUGUCACUGUAUUUAUUCCUUAUACAACCGUGUGUGUCAUGCUAGGUUCCCCGUGGAUGUAGCUGAUCAUUUUUAUUUUGUAAAUAUAAUUACCUAACUUUACGUAAACGAUAUCCUAAUAAACUAUUUUUGCACCACC